CAUCAGCAUCCGGCCACAACAAACUAUAAGAACGUUAUAUAGUAAUAGCACAUGGAUUUCUUUAGUGAUUUACUUAUUUGCCACACCGAGACUGGAUUACAGCGUGAAGACCUACCCAUAUGUUAAACUGUACAGCCAGAUUCCCAAAUGAAGCACGAGCCGUUCUCAGAAACAACAUUUACAUUAUGAAGAUGCUUUGCAUUGGAGCUGCAUGGUUCAGUGCCCUCAAAGAGCUUAUAGACCUGUGAGUUUCAGAUUUUAUAACUGAGAGCUCUACAUACAGUAAAGGCGGAUCCAAAAGCAAACAUGUCUUUAACAUCCAUCAUUAUUUGGGCGCUCACAACAUGCACCUGUGUUUCCGUGGGGCAGAUUUUGACUCAAUCUGAGGCUCAAACAGUGCAGCCUGGUCAAACUGUCACUAUACAGUGCAAACAUACACCAGCACUUGACUGUGUUAAAAAAAACACCACUAUGAAUUGCAUGUCCUGGUAUCAUCAGAUUCCCGGAGAAGCUCCUAAACUCCUGAUUUAUUACACAGAUGUGAGAGCUUCAGGGGUGUCUUCUAGAUUUAGUGGCAGUAAGAAGGAAGACAAGAUUGAUUUCUCUUUGACCAUCAGUGGAGUACAGCCUGAUGAUUCGGGAGAUUAUUACUGUCAGAGUCAACAUUUCUUGAAUAAGACAUAUUCUGUGUUCACACAGUGUUUAUGCAUCAUACAAAAACUUUCAUCUGUCAGACUUCACUGCUACAGCUGGAUCCUUCUGAAAGUCUAGAGAGAGGAAGGAGACACAGAUCACUGAAGAUAUACAUACAUAGCAGAUAAAACAGUCCCAGGUUUUAGUUCAUCGCUGUAAAAUAUUUGAACACACUCAUCUACUUUUUUCUUAUAGCACUCAAACUUUAAAUGGCUUACGUAUGAGAAUGUAAACAGCGAACCUAGUCUCAAAACUGCAAUCACAAAAAACCCUGUCAUCCCUGCGGUAUUCAAUUCCUGCUUGAAUGAAUUGAAAUGAAUUUUCUGUUAAACUCAUGUUACAUGUAACUGCAUGCAAAUUAAUUUAAGAUUGCAUUUAUUACAUGGUGUUUUAUAAACAAAGUUCGGGAGGAGCAAGUUCAUUUAAUCCGACCAAUCACACAGUGAGAGUAAGAGGAUAUAAACAGCUGCUUACCUCUACGUAGCAUUGAGAGUUUCCGGCGUUCGGCCCCACCCAUUGCCCACGAACAGACCCAUACAAGUGACUCGGAUCAUUGGAUUGCAACUCCGCUGCAAAGCAUUUGCCUUCAUCAGAACAGCUCUUCCAUCUAAAUGAUCUCGUUUCAACAGAAGCUGCCACAGCAGCCACUUUAAGUGCUACUUCUACUCUGUUUUUCCUCCUAAUCUCUGUUCGCCGGAGCAGAUCAUUGCGUGAAGCUGCUUCGGCAGUGUAUACAUGUGAAACAGCUCUCUACGACUGUUCAUAUGUUCUCAUCUAAACUUUCCACCCGAAGUGGACCAUUCGUGUGAAGCUGCUUCUGCAAACUGGCUACUUCGGUGCCUCAAACAUGUGAAAAAGUUCCCUGCAUCUGCUCAUAUGUUCUCUCAUCUACAUUUCCACCCGCAGCGGUCCGUUGCGAGCUCGCAUCCACGAACAGGCGCUGCUCCGGCUUCAUGUUAUUCAAGCUCUAUUACAGCUCUAUUGGAACACGUGAAACAAAGAUUAACUUUUUAAUUCAACCAUCAUGGCAAUGCUCCCCAGCUUUUCAAUCCAGUUCUCCAGCACAGGUGAUUCUUGUCUGCCUUAUUAACUCUCCGCACAGCUCGUUUAGGGCGUGAUCCAAUCAGCGAUUCCGUUCAUCAUCUUUUUGCAUGAAUAUUACAGUUGUUCUCCCUUCGAGGUGCCCUUCGGAGUGCGAUUUAUUCCAUUUGAACGCGGGGCAAUCAUGUAACGGUGAACACUUUCCAAUCGACUGAUGCUCUAAAUUACAACUUUUUUCCAAACCAACGCAGACAUUUUUAGUGCGAGUUCGCUGCCGCAGCAGCCCUCGCUCCGACCACGCUCAGCUCACCACAGCUAUACAUUGCUUCUGUCCGAACAGACAGGCUCUGCAAGAGGUGGAUCGUGCAGCACGUCCAACUCAUUUAUAAUUAUUCCACAAAGUUUCUCGCCUCCUCACCGCAUAAAAACUCACCUUACCGCGCAGCCCCUGUUAACCAUUAAGUAACCACUUCUACAGACUUUUAUUCAUUUCUAGACCAUAACAUGACUUCUCUCCUCCCGCCCAGGACAAACACUUCACGCAUGUAAAUCAUCUAUUUUAUUUUACAGUCUUUGCCAGAAUCAUUGGAUUUCAAACUCUUAAGCUCGACCAUAGAACCUAAUUGCUCAUGACUUUAAAAGCGUUCAACAAUCUCAUAAUUUUACGCUCCACCCAAGUUUAAAGUAACGGGUUUAAAUCGACGGCAAAUUAUUCUGCUUGGCACCUUGCUUAAACUCCAAUAUUUUUGUAGUAUUUAUUACAAGUCAAUAUAAACGAGUCACUUUAUUUCAGUCGUUCUGUAGCAUUCAUUACAAAGUCAUCAAUAUGAACAAGUUGUUUUAUUCACCACACUACUGCAAACUGUGCUUAUAGUAUCUAUUAAAACCAACUCUCAGGCACAAACUCCUACGAUUUCAUACGUCCUCGUCAAAACGAGACUAGUCAUCCCAUGCCAAUAAUACAGAGUCAUGAAAUGACUCGCAUUACGUUGGAAACAAUCUACUAAGCUCCAAACCAUACGCUUAAGUUUAUAACAUCAGACUACAGUAUUCAUCUGGGCACUACAGUAUUCAUCUGGGCAUUUCAGGUGCCUUCUAAUUUCAUGACUGCAAACGUUGCAGACGCAAGCAUGUUUCCUGACAUUGUUUCACAUAUGUUCCCGACAUUUAAUCUAGCAACAACUAUGUUCAGGCAUCCACAGUUGCUACAUUUACCACAUUUUCUACUGAUUCAACACAUCCCUAAGCGGCACAAAUGUGCUGUCCAGGUACCGCAACUGCACCGUCUUUUGGACGGUGCGUCUAGACCUCGCACUACACCACAAGCAGCGCAAUGUGCUGUCCAAAUGCUGCAACUGUGGUGUCUUUGGGGCUGUGCAAACAUACCUCCUACUGCACUGUAAACAGCGCAAAUACGCUGUCCAAGUGGUGCAACCAUGGCGUCUUUAGGGCCAUACGACAAACUCCAACUACACGGCAAACAGCGCAAAUGCACUGUCCAACAGUACCGCAACAGUUCAUGUGCCACAACCUCGACACAUGUUUCAGACCAUGCGUCUCAGCCCCCAUGGCUCCGUACCCAUACUAUGCCACUCAUACUAAACGAACCAUCACUACCUAGUGAUUGACAAUUGGGCUGCUUUAGGUCUUCCAUAAACAGUCCGCCACAAGCCGGCAUCUCCACAUCAAUCAAUUUUAUUUAAAUGUCACCUACUAUACACCCUCAUGUCAUGUGCUCGGGCAUGGCGAAGCCCUCCAGUUGCAAUAACAACAGCUCUCCACAAAAGCUCAUUUCUAUGCAACCGCAACACCACUGUCUUUCAGAGUUUCAGCCUAAAUUUCACUCUCCAUUCCUCCCUCUGGUUCCUUCUGCAAGCGGCUCCAUUUGUACUAUCUUCUUUGGCACCUCUGCCCAUCUGGCACACAUGGCUAACACUCAACUUCCAUUCCAGUACGUCAUUUCAGGUUCCAUUCUUUUGGGGAAGGUAGAUAUUGUUGUUAAAAUCAGUCGGUUACUCUUAUUCCUUCCAACACAUCACUUCCCCUCCUCACGAGGCUAUGACGCCAGUGACUUGCUGUUCCGUUUUUUGGCUUCCUUUGGGGGGCAUUCAAGCUCAGGUCAAGUCUCGAGCCUCGAGCCCUCCGCCAGGGACUGCAAGCCACAUAUGUUUACGCUAUCGUCACUGCAGGAUUACAUUAACUUGCGAACAACAGAAACAUAAGUAUGAGGAAAUAUCAAAAUAUAUUUAACUGGUUUAAAUAUCGCAAUCAAAAAACUGUGUAAUCAUGUAAGGGAAACAACAGACAAUGACUCCAGUAUCAUACAUGUCUGCAAUUAACAUGUGUGCAAUUUACAAUAUUAAAAAAAUAUUUAAAGUCAUUGAAGGCUAACAAUUCUCAUGUUCUAGUAAUAGCAUUAUAAGGGGAAAAUUGGGAAUAAACCCCCUUAAGAACAAUGUACAUUUACUUUUAAAUUGUAACAAUCUUACAGUAGAUGUAAGUUUAGCAUGUACAUGGUGAUGAUGCAUUGUAAUGUGUAGAGACUUAUUGCUGCCAUCUCUCUUUCUCUCUCUCUCUCUCUCAAUUUAAAAUUUUCAAUUUGAAGUACUUUAUUAGCAUGAUUGUGUUUACUUACAAUAUUACCAAAGCAUUAAUACACAAAACAAAUAAUGAAAAGAAAAAAAAGAAUAUAACAGUAACAAAUAACAAUAAAAAUAGAAUUAAAAUAAGGUGCCAAGUAAUAAAUAAAAACAAAUAAAUAAAAAAAAUGAAACAAUAUAUUGUACCAUAUACAAAAUAAACAUUAAACAGUACUUUAUGAACAACAACGAAAAAAUACUGUAACAUAUGUACUGUACAUUAAUACCCCUUGAUUAUGUUGAUCAAGGCAGUGAUUGGUUUCUGGGAGUGUGCAGCUCAAAAAUGAAAUUUGCUGCAACAGAUAAGUAAUUGUCCUCCCCCAGUAACACCUGCAUUUGACUGUUUCUGCUGAACUGGAAAACUGUGGCAUGAGUUGAGAGUUUUUGUUAUAUAUAUACUGUAUAUAUAUAUAUUUCUCUUUCACCUCUGUAAAUUUCUCAUAGUAAAUGAGAAUGUGUGUCUCUGUCUCGACCUCGACCUAUGGCCAGACUGUGAGCCUAAGCCUGUAUUUGGUAAGGACCCAUCUCUGCUUUGUAUUUCUAACAGUGUAGAUAUUCUGCCAAAAUAAUAUACCUUCUGUUUAGGGCCCGAUAACAUUCCAGUUUACUUUACUUUCCUUUUCCCAAUGGUCCAAAUAUGAAUUUUUGCUUUUUUUUAUGAUUUGGUUUAUUCUGAUUUGGUUUUGUUCAGCAGUGCUGGUCUGAAACUGGUGUUUGUAGAUGAUUUGUGAGUUUCAGAGCCAGCUGACAAGGGAGACUGGUUUUUGGCCUCAACUCUUGGGUUUUAAGGGCUUCAUGUUGCAGUGUGUUAGGGGAACUUGAAUUUAAGUGUGUCCAGAAUUUGAGGGAUCGUUUUUGAAUCUGUAUAAUUAGGGAGUAUCUGCCUAGUUCAGCCCUACAUGCAUUAGUAGUAAUAUUAUUAUUCAUGUUUCUACAGAAUUCUGCAUGCAUAAAUUUUAUGGGAUGUUUGUCUCAUCUAGAGUAGUCUGCCAGACAGAGUGGACCCCAAACCCCACAUCUGUACAGAACAAUAGGCAUACUAUCAUGGUUUAGGUCCUAUUUAUCAGACUGCUACCACUUUGUCUGUGUAAAUGAGGAAUUGUCAGAUGAAAUUAAAGUUAAAAAUGGAGAGCCACAGGGAUCAGUUUUAGGGCCUCUGCUUUUCUCCUUAUAUAUAGUAUGCUUCCCCUGGGAGACAUUAUCAGAAACCGUGGAAUUAGCUUUCACUGUUAUGCCGAUGAUAUCCAACUUUAUAUUUCUUCGAAACCCUACGAAAUUUCCAAGUUAGCAGAGUGUAUAAAUGACAUCAAAGAUUGGAUGGCUAGAAAUUCCCUUCUAUUCAGUUUUCUUUUUUUUUUUUUUGUUAUUAAAUUUUUUUAUUGAUUCCAAGACAGACAAGAAUAAAUUUAACCACAAAAUUAUACAUUAGGAAUCAACUUAAAACCCUUUAUAACGUCUGGAAGUCAUCUCCUCGAAAGCUGCCAAUUUACCCAACUCGGUGCACCACUCACGAAAUGAGGGUGCAUCAGUUGA